AAGAUUAUUCUCAAAGGCUCCACAUAUUAAUUCUUACCGUAAGAAAAACGUUAUUGUUUUUAGAGAAUUAGUAUGAGAAUUAUCCUUCAAGCUGUCUUCUUUGGCAAAUAUAAAUACACGUCGACAAAGCGCACACUUGCGCUCUGAAGAUUGCAAUUCCUGUUCUCCCUCUCUCUCUCUCUCAACUAUUAUUAUUUCAUCUGCUUCCGAUUUUAUAAGAUUUGCUAUCCAAAAACUAUAAUAUAUCGGUUUUAAGUGAUUUUGUUUCUCUACCAAAAAUAUGAGCGAACCGAAGUAUGCAUAUCCUUAUCCUGCACCGGGAAACUACCCGCCUGGCCCGCCGCCUCCGGUGGGAGUACCGCCGCAGUAUUAUCCCCCGCCACCGCCUCCUCCACCGCCAAAGCGAAAACCUGGUUUUCUUGAGGGACUACUUGCGGCUCUGUGUUGCUGCUGCUUAGUGGAUGAAUGUUGCUGCGACCCGACCAUUAUAUGCAUUGAUUGAGUUUUGAAUAAAUUUAAAAUCCCUCUUUGUCUGUUAAUUUGUUAUGGGGAGUUUAUGUAAUAUCUGUUGUAAUUAAAUGUGAUUACUUUCUUCUCGCUUUAACCUCAUAAUAGUUAUUUCAAUAUGUAUCA